UCCGUAGGUGAACCUGCGGAAGGAUCAUUACAAAUCUCUUGUCUAUUCGGGAGGCUUUACCUACCUUGUUGUUGGUUAGCUAACCGAUAGGACACAUAUGCACAAGGCCGCAAGGUCUUGAUGUUUACGCUUGUACGUUUGACAAAUUUAUUUGUACCAAAACUUUGACAACUUUUAACAAUGGAUCUCUUGGCUCUUGCAACGAUGAAGAACGCAGUAAAGUGCGAUAUGUAGUGCGAUUUGCAUGAAUCUGUGAGUCAUCUAAUCUUUGAACGCAACUUGCGCCUCUUUUUUGAGGCAUGUCUGUUUGAGAGCCGCAUACAUCAAUGCAGCAAUGCGAUCUGACCAUUGUCCCUGGACUCGGUCUAAACGUAGCCAGAUUAAUGGCCUGUGUAAGCUAGCCUGAGUGCUAAGCAUUCUCUAGCUAGUUUAUGCUUGCUUUUAUAUUUAUCUUUUUGGCCUCAAAUCAGGCAAGAUUACCCGCUGAACUUAA
rnacentral:rRNA from 1 species